rnacentral:rRNA from 1 species
CCUACGGGGGGCUGCAGUGGGGAAUAUUGCACAAUGGGCGCAAGCCUGAUGCAGCCAUGCCGCGUGUGUGAAGAAGGCCUUCGGGUUGUAAAGCACUUUCAGCGGGGAGGAAGGCGGUGAGGUUAAUAACCUCAUCGAUUGACGUUACCCGCAGAAGAAGCACCGGCUAACUCCGUGCCAGCAGCCGCGGUAAUACGGAGGGUGCAAGCGUUAAUCGGAAUUACUGGGCGUAAAGCGCACGCAGGCGGUCUGUCAAGUCGGAUAUGAAAUCCCCGGGCUCAACCUGGGAACUGCAUUCGAAACUGGCAGGCUAGAGUCUUGUAGAGGGGGGUAGAAUUCCAGGUGUAGCGGUGAAAUGCGUAGAGAUCUGGAGGAAUACCGGUGGCGAAGGCGGCCCCCUGGACAAAGACUGACGCUCAGGUGCGAAAGCGUGGGGAGCAAACAGGAUUAGAUACCCCGGUAGUC